GUGAAAUACUCACCACAAACGUGCUAAUAAUCAACAUUUCAAUCACCUCCGGUAGUUACCAUCUUCUUCUUUUCUUUUGAUGAGAACACUUAAGAUCUCCCUUCUUAGCAGAUUUCAAGUAAACAAUACAGUAUGGUUAACUAUAGCCACUGUUGUGGAGUGGGAGGUGGGGGAAAGUUAGUCAAGGGCUACAAAGUUUCAGUUAUUCAAAACAAGGAUAUAUUUAUACACAGUUCUUUAAAAAAUUCAUUCUUCUUAGUGCAUAAUGGACAUUGUUAGCUCCAAAAUUCAUGAUCUGUUAUAUUACAGGCAACUUAUUUUUUUUUAAAAUUAUUUCUCUUUUUUUCUGUCUCCCAGGCUGGACUGCAAUGGUGCAAUCUUGGCUCACUGAACCUCCGCUUCCUGGGUUCAACCAAUUCUCCUGCCUCAGCCACCCGAGUAGCUGGGAUUAUAGGUGCCCACUACCAGGAACACAUUUUGCCAGUAGACCAUACUACCAUACUACCACAAUGAAAUAGUAUCCAAGAGUUACAAAUCAGACAGAGUGAAGAAGCUUCAGAUCCAGAACCAACAGCAGGCACAGAAAAAAAAGAAAAAGGAAAACGAAGCUGAAAGAAAUGCCUGUUUUCUUUAGUCAGCGGUCCAGAAAAGGAUGGCCUAGCAUCAGAAAAUACUUUUGGCAAUACAUGUCUACAUCAGUCAAAUAUGAACCGGAAUCAUACUCCUAAGCUCUUGUAGAUUCAGCAGAGUUGAACAGAAAGCUGAUCUUCCAUACUCUCUUUCCCCUACCCUUGGAAGCAGGUGGCAUGCUGCAGCUUUCCUCUGGGCAUUAUCAGCCUGGCUGAACAGGGAGCUGGUCUUUUUUCCCUCUCCUGGCAGGAGUAGGCGACAGUGAUCCAAUUUUCUCACAGGUGAAGUGUUAGGGAGACUGAAUAUGAAUUCUGCGUUCUCCACACAGUUGAAGCAGGCAGUGCUCAGAUUGUUCUACUGUGAUUGUGUUCUACUAUGAUAGCUGGGUCCACCGAUGCAUGAAGCUGCCAUCCCAACCAGCGGCCGUGAGAAUUAAUGAGAUGGUCCAGAAGGGGGCUUCACCCUCUCUGCUUCUGUCUUGUCAUGUCACCGGCGCCAAGUGGGUAGCUGAAAAUACUCAACCACCUAGACCUCACAUAAUACCUCAACAAAAGAACUGCCUGAAAAACUGAAAGAGAUUAAAUAGAUUGCGGAGUUUCAUAGUGUAGUAUCCAAAAAGUUCAGAAUGUUACUGACAAUCACUGAUCAUCCCAAGAACCAGGAAAAUUAACAGAAACAAAUUCCAAAAGGAAUUAGAGGUUGGAAUAUCUAAUAAGGAUUUUAAGGCAACCAUCCAAGGGCCUCAAUAAGCAAUUAUGAAUUCUCUUGAAACAAACGAUAAAUUAGAAAAUCUUGGCAAAGAAAGGAUAGUCAAGAUAAGUAAAAAUAUCUGUAUCAAUCUGCUUUCACACUGCUAUAAAGAACUGCCUGAGACUGAGUGAUUUAUAAAGAAAAUAGGUUUAAUUGACUCGUAGUUCUGCAUGGCUGAGAUGCCUCAGGAAACUUACAAUCAUGGCAGAAGGUGAAAGGGAAGCAGGCAUGGCUUGCGUGGUGGCAGAAGGAAGAGAGAAAGAAGUGGGAAGCACCUUUCUUUCAGACACGUAUCAAACUAUCAAAUCUCAUGAGAACUCACUUACUAUCAUGAGAACAGCAAGGGGAAAAUCCACCCCUGUGAGCCAAUCACCUCCCACCAGGUCCCUCCCUAGAUACACAGGGAUUACAAUUUGAGAUCAGACUUGGAUGGGGACACAGAGCCAAACCAUGUUAUUUGGCCCCUGGCCUCUCCAAAAUCUCAAGCCCUUUUCACAUUUCAGAGCCAAUCCCAACCAUCCCCCAAUGACUUAACUCAUUUCAGCAUUAACUCAAAAGUCCAAGCCCAGUCUCAUCUGAGACAAGGCAAAUCCCUUCUGCCUAUGAGCCUGUAAAAUUAAAAACAAUUUAGACACAAUGGGUGUCCAGGGAUUGGGUACAUUUUGCCAUUCACAAUGGGAGAAAUUGGCCCAAACAAAGGAGCCACAGAUCUUAUACAAGUCCAAAACCCAGUGGGGCAGUCAUUAAAUCUUAAAGCUCCAAAACCUUCUUUGGCUCUGUGAAAGGAAAAUUAAUUGUGAGGCCCUGAAAUCACCAAGCUAAAGGGAAAAGUCAAGCUGGGAACUUCUUAGGGCAAACCUGCCUCACACUCUAUUCAAAGUCACUCCUCUACUCACUGAUGUAGAUGCAUAUCUGAUUGCUUCCUUUGGAAAAGCUAAUAAAAAACUCAGAACAAAGUCUGUGACCUGGAAGCCCUCUCCCCACUUUGAGCCUUCCUGCCUUUGCUUCAAAUCGUCCCACCUUUCCAGACUGAACCAAUGUACUUCUUACGUAUAUUGAUUGAUGUCUAAUGUCUCCCUAAAAUGUAUAAAACUAAGCUAUGCCCCAACCCCCAGGGGCACAUGUCAUCAGGACUUCCUGAGGCUGUGUCAUGGGCAUGUCUUAACCUUGGCAAAAUAAACUUUCUAAAUUAACUGAGACCUGUCUUGGAUUUUUAGUGUUGACAACUCCAUGUCUUACAUCCAGGACAUGCUAAUUAAAGGCCUUGGGCAGGUCUGAACUCAUGGCUCUGCAGGGUACAGCACCCCGUGGCUGCUUUCAUAGGUAGGUGUUAAGUGCCUGCAGCUUUUCCAAGUGCCUGGUGCAAACUGUCAGUGAAUCUACCAUCCUUGGGUCUGGAGGAUUGUGGCCCUCUUCUCACAGCACCACUAGGCAAUGCCCCAGUGGGGACUCUGUAUGAGGGCUCCAUCCCCACAAUUCUUUUCUGCAUUGCCCUAGUAGAGGUUCUCCAUUAGGGUUCUGCCUCUGCAGCAGACUUUGGCCUGGAC
ensembl:lncRNA